rnacentral:rRNA from 1 species
AGAGUUUGAUCCUGGCUCAGGACGAACGCUGGCGGCGUGCCUAAUACAUGCAAGUCGAACGCUUUUUCUUUCACCGGAGCUUGCUCCACCGAAAGAAAAAGAGUGGCGAACGGGUGAGUAACACGUGGGUAACCUGCCCAUCAGAAGGGGAUAACACUUGGAAACAGGUGCUAAUACCGUAUAACACUAUUUUCCGCAUGGAAGAAAGUUGAAAGGCGCUUUUGCGUCACUGAUGGAUGGACCCGCGGUGCAUUAGCUAGUUGGUGAGGUAACGGCUCACCAAGGCAACGAUGCAUAGCCGACCUGAGAGGGUGAUCGGCCACACUGGGACUGAGACACGGCCCAGACUCCUACGGGAGGCAGCAGUAGGGAAUCUUCGGCAAUGGACGAAAGUCUGACCGAGCAACGCCGCGUGAGUGAAGAAGGUUUUCGGAUCGUAAAACUCUGUUGUUAGAGAAGAACAAGGAUGAGAGUAAAAUGUUCAUCCCUUGACGGUAUCUAACCAGAAAGCCACGGCUAACUACGUGCCAGCAGCCGCGGUAAUACGUAGGUGGCAAGCGUUGUCCGGAUUUAUUGGGCGUAAAGCGAGCGCAGGCGGUUUCUUAAGUCUGAUGUGAAAGCCCCCGGCUCAACCGGGGAGGGUCAUUGGAAACUGGGAGACUUGAGUGCAGAAGAGGAGAGUGGAAUUCCAUGUGUAGCGGUGAAAUGCGUAGAUAUAUGGAGGAACACCAGUGGCGAAGGCGGCUCUCUGGUCUGUAACUGACGCUGAGGCUCGAAAGCGUGGGGAGCGAACAGGAUUAGAUACCCUGGUAGUCCACGCCGUAAACGAUGAGUGCUAAGUGUUGGAGG